AGCAGAAAACACCUUCCUAGGAGAUCAGCGCUAACCCCCUGCUGCCCUAACAGGACCGGAGCCUGCUGCUUUGCGCUGCACGCCCUGUCGCCGCAGAGGGCUCGGUUAGGGAAUGAAAGGCUGAGAUGCAACCGAACCCUGCCCCCUUCAGGAGCGCGGAGCGGACUGAGGUUGCAGCUCAAGCAAUAAGCAGGGAAUCCGUUAGCAGUGUAGGCAGAGGCUGUUUUCUGCGAGGAUGCCUGCCAAAGCCAAUGAUCAGAGCAGCAGGAAGGGUUAUUCCUUUAAUUCAGACCCAUGGCUGAGGAAGCUAUACUUGUCCUGUCAAAAUCCAGGCUACCGUUAAAAACAAUCCUCACUGGUGAAAGUCGGGUUUUCAGCUGAAGGAGAGACAUCUUGAUUGACCUCCUGCCCCCACAAAGCACCAGGCCUGAGGAGUGGAAGGAUAGUUCCAGAGUUCGUGUUUUGUGCUUGGCUACAGCAGGGGGCAGGACUACAUUUCUGGCUUCUGCUAUCUGGUCUUGCAAUCAAACAUUUAGAGCCUCAAAGAGUUGAUUUGAGUGUCAGUUAGCAACCAAGGAUGCACCUGAACCUGGGCAGAAAGUGGCAUAAGUGACUGUAGAGAGUCAAUGGAUGGUAGCAGUAAAGCUGUCAUUUUCCAAAGGACUUUUCCAUGCCUGUGAAAUAUCAAGGGGGGGAUUUCCUGAAGUAACAGCAGGACAGUUGCUGUAAUGUAAACAGUCCUAGCAGAUACUCCCAGCGAGAACAGAGGCUGUACUUCACCACUCCCACCGGUCAUCUUUCUCCCCUUUUCUAACCCUCAGGCAGCGAAAACUAUUUAUUUGUCUCAGUUCAAUUGCAAAGUGCAAGGCAGGGGAGGGUAAGGAAUAAGACACACGCUGUGAAAGACUCCCCAAAACAAGGUGGAUGGCAACACAACCUCAAACCAUGGCUGUGUUGUUCUCAGGAGGACUUGUUUUUUUACCCACUGUCCAGACAGGAGGAAUGAUCUAGAGAACAGCCCAGCAGCCCAACAAAGCUCAUCCUUUGGAGGGAUCCAAUGCUCGGACACCAGCUUGAGUCUUGAGUCCUGGCUUCAGUUCCCUGCUCCACACAGAUUUUUUGGCCAAGGCACUUAGCCUCUCUGGGCCUGUCUCUCUACACUGUGAUAAAGGACCCCUAGAAGAGUUGGCGCUGGACAAUUCCACUGAUGCUUUGUCUAUGCUGGCAAUUGAGCUGCAAAGCUUUUGUCAUCCACAGACACUUAAAAAAAUACCCCUCUUUCUCCUGUGCCCUCCCGCAAACUACAAAAGUACUUUGUGAGCAGGAGCGCUCUCAAUAUGGGUCAUAGGGGGCGGAAGUUUUUUGUUGGCAAGAGUGUUUGCACUGCCCAACUUUUUAUCAACGCAGCUGUACAGCCUUACUACUAAAAACUGCACCGUAUAGACACCAACUCCGACUUGCAGGGCUGUAAAAUUGCACUGUAGACAGCUGGGCUACGUCUAGACUGGCAUGAUUUUACGCAAAUGCUUUUAACGGUAACGUUUUCUGUUAAAAGCAUUUGCAGAAAAG